AGCCGCAACCCCUAUCAUUACGUUGCCAUCAGGUAAUGCUGGGGACGUCUAAAGGAACUGCCUACGCAAGUAGUGAGGAAGGCGGGGGAUGACGUCAAAUCAGCACGGCCCUUACCGUCCAGGGCUACACACGUGCUACAAUGGCCGAUACAGAGGGCGAGCUACCUGGUGACAGGAUGCAAAUCUCCAAAGUCGGUCUCAGUUCGGAUCGGAGUCUGCAACCCGACUCCGUGAAGUUGGAUUCGCUAGUAAUCGCGCAUCAGCCAUGGCGCGGUGAAUACGUUCCCGGGCCUU
rnacentral:rRNA from 1 species